UACAGAGGUCUCAAGCGUUGUUCGGAUUCAUUGGGCGUAAAGGGUGCGUAGGCGGCGCGGUAAGUCGGGUGUGAAAUCUCGGGGCUUAACUCCGAAACUGCAUUCGAUACUGCCGUGCUUGAGGACUGGAGAGGAGACUGGAAUUUACGGUGUAGCGGUGAAAUGCGUAGAUAUCGUAAGGAAGACCAGUGGCGAAAGGCGGGUCUCUGGACAGUUCCGUGACGUGAGGCACGAAGGCCGGGGGAGGCAAACGGGG
rnacentral:rRNA from 1 species